rnacentral:piRNA from 1 species
UGGACAUUGGUGUGACUAGCAUGAAC